rnacentral:rRNA from 1 species
CCUACGGGAGACAGCAGUGAGGAAUAUUGGUCAAUGGGCGUAAGCCUGAACCAGCCAAGUCGCGUGAGGGAUGAAGGUUCUAUGGAUCGUAAACCUCUUUUAUAAGGGAAUAAAGUGUGGGACGUGUCCUGUUUUGUAUGUACCUUAUGAAUAAGGAUCGGCUAACUCCGUGCCAGCAGCCGCGGUAAUACGGAGGAUCCGAGCGUUUUCCGGAUUUAUUGGGUUUAAAGGGUGCGUAGGCGGCCUUUUAAGUCAGCGGUGAAAGUCUGUGGCUCAACCAUAGAAUUGCCGUUGAAACUGGGAGGCUUGAGUAUGUUUGAGGCAGGCGGAAUGCGUGGUGUAGCGGUGAAAUGCUUAGAUAUCACGCAGAACCCCGAUUGCGAAGGCAGCCUGCCAAGCCAUGACUGACGCUGAUGCACGAAAGCGUGGGGAUCAAACAGGAUUAGAUACCCCAGUAGUC